rnacentral:rRNA from 1 species
UACGGAGGGUGCAAGCGUUAUCCGGAUUCAUUGGGUUUAAAGGGUGCGUAGGCGGAAUAAUAAGUCAGUGGUGAAAUCCUACAGCUUAACUGUAGAACUGCCAUUGAUACUGUUGUUCUUGAGUCUAGUUGAAGUUGGCGGAAUGUGGCAUGUAGCGGUGAAAUGCAUAGAUAUGCCACAGAACACCGAUUGCGAAGGCAGCUAACUAAACUAGUACUGACGCUGAGGCACGAAAGCGUGGGUAGCGAACAGG